AGCUGGAUCAUUUCGAGAGUUUACGAACUCCUAUUGAGCAAUAACUUUUUACUCAGCUGAACGUGUUACACUUCGGCUGAGAAAUCGACAACUCAUAACGGUGGAUGUCUCGGCUUCUCAAUCGAUGAAGGACGCGGCAAUAUGCGAUAAAUUCGUAUGAAUUGCAGAAUCAAGCGUAUUAUCAAACCUUUGAACGCAACAUGCGUGCUGGGUCUUAACUCAAGCACGUCCACGGUUCAGUGCCGAUAACUGUGUUGGGGACAAAUUAGGCCCUUAAACUCUUGGUUUCGUACCAAUUAUCAUUUUCAAGGCCUGAACUGUGGUCGACCACCCGCUGAACUUAAGCAUAUCAUUAAGCGGAGGAAAAGAAAACAACUGUGAUUCCCCUAGUAGCGGCGAGCGAAGAGGGAAAAGCCCAAGCCGAAUCGGAUCACAUCCGAAUUGUGGAGUAUGAAGUUCUUUGUAUUUCCGCAUGUUGGAAAAGUCUUCCUGGAAAGGAGCGCCCUAGAGGGUGAUAGCCCCGUUUUCCGACCUCUGCGCGAAACAACACCUUUGAACUUUCGGAGUAGUACUGCUUGGGAAUGCAGUGCGAAUGGCAGGUAUACCUCUGCCAAGGCUAAAUAUUGUGAGAAGACCGAUAGCGCACAAGUAGCGUGAGCGAAAGAUGAAAAGCACUUUGGAGAGAGAGUGAAACAGUACCUGAAGCCGUUAUGAGGUAAGGGAUGGACCACUAUCCAAGAAUGGUUGAUGUUGAGUUCCUUCGAUCUUAACCUCUCUUCCAUUCAUGUCUGCCGCUGUUCUGAGGUCUAGCUUGGCGAUUAGGGCUUCGGUCUUUUUGCGUCUUGUACUUGUACUAAGGGACAGUUUUCCUUCGUGAGGAGGUUAACGCUGAGGGUACCUACGCGGGAACUGGGUUGCUGGAUAGCGGCUUCGGCUGUGAUUCCUGUAAUUUGGAACCUUCGGAAGUCUUUCCGUCUUCUCUUCAUAGGCAGGCUUUGAGAUCGCCUCGGCGACGAUGGGGUUCAUCCGCCCGUCUUGAAACACGGACCAAGGAGUCUAACAAGUAUGCGAGUCAUAUACUGAAUGAAAGUAUAAGGCGUACUGAAAGGGAAGCGCGUACCUCCGCGUUUGGUGUCAACCGUGCGUCUCAGACAAUCGGUGCAGCACCGGCCGAGGCCUGACAAUCGGUUGGGUUUUUGAGCCUGAGCAUACAUGUUGGGACCCGAAAGGUGGUGACCUAUGCCUGAACAGGACGAAGCCGAGGGAAACCUGGGUGGAGGUCCGUAGCGAUGUUGACGUGCAAAUCGCUCGUUAGAUUUGGGUAUAGGGGCGAAAGACUCAUCGAACCACCUAGUAGCUGGUUCACCCC
rnacentral:misc_RNA from 1 species